rnacentral:rRNA from 1 species
AAUCGCCUACGGGAGGCAGCAGUCGAGAAUCAUUCACAAUGGGGGAAACCCUGGUGCAGCGACGCCGCGUGGGCGAGGAAGUACCUCGGUAUGUAAAGCCCUAUCAGCAGGGAAGAAACAGGACAGUACCUGACUAAGAAGCCCCGGCUAACUACGUGCCAGCAGCCGCGGUAAUACGUAGGGGGCAAGCGUUAUCCGGAUUCACUGGGCGUAAAGGGAGCGCAGGCGGCAUGGCAAGUCUGAUGUGAAAACCCGGGGCCCAACCCCGGGAGUGCAUUGGAAACUGCCAGGCUGGAGUGACGGAG